rnacentral:rRNA from 1 species
GCUAUACAUGCAAGUCGAGCGGACAGAAGGGAGCUUGCUCCCGGAUGUUAGCGGCGGACGGGUGAGUAACACGUGGGUAACCUGCCUGUAAGACUGGGAUAACUCCGGGAAACCGGAGCUAAUACCGGAUAGUUCCUUGAACCGCAUGGUUCAAGGAUGAAAGACGGUUUCGGCUGUCACUUACAGAUGGACCCGCGGCGCAUUAGCUAGUUGGUGGGGUAAUGGCUCACCAAGGCGACGAUGCGUAGCCGACCUGAGAGGGUGAUCGGCCACACUGGGACUGAGACACGGCCCAGACUCCUACGGGAGGCAGCAGUAGGGAAUCUUCCGCAAUGGACGAAAGUCUGACGGAGCAACGCCGCGUGAGUGAUGAAGGUUUUCGGAUCGUAAAGCUCUGUUGUUAGGGAAGAACAAGUGCGAGAGUAACUGCUCGCACCUUGACGGUACCUAACCAGAAAGCCACGGCUAACUACGUGCCAGCAGC